rnacentral:rRNA from 1 species
CCUACGGGUGGCAGCAGUGGGGAAUAUUGCACAAUGGGCGCAAGCCUGAUGCAGCCAUGCCGCGUGUAUGAAGAAGGCCUUCGGGUUGUAAAGUACUUUCAGCGAGGAGGAAGGCAUUAAGGUUAAUAACCUUAGUGAUUGACGUUACUCGCAGAAGAAGCACCGGCUAACUCCGUGCCAGCAGCCGCGGUAAUACGGAGGGUGCAAGCGUUAAUCGGAAUUACUGGGCGUAAAGCGCACGCAGGCGGUCUGUUAAGUCAGAUGUGAAAUCCCCGGGCUCAACCUGGGAACUGCAUUUGAAACUGGCAGGCUUGAGUCUUGUAGAGGGGGGUAGAAUUCCAGGUGUAGCGGUGAAAUGCGUAGAGAUCUGGAGGAAUACCGGUGGCGAAGGCGGCCCCCUGGACAAAGACUGACGCUCAGGUGCGAAAGCGUGGGGAGCAAACAGGAUUAGAUACCCUCGUAGUC